rnacentral:rRNA from 1 species
AGAGUUUGAUCAUGGCUCAGAUUGAACGCUGGCGGCAGGCCUAACACAUGCAAGUCGAGCGGUAACACAGGGAGCUUGCUCCUGGGUGACGAGCGGCGGACGGGUGAGUAAUGUCUGGGAAACUGCCCGAUGGAGGGGGAUAACUACUGGAAACGGUAGCUAAUACCGCAUAACGUCGCAAGACCAAAGAGGGGGACCUUCGGGCCUCUUGCCAUCGGAUGUGCCCAGAUGGGAUUAGCUAGUAGGUGGGGUAACGGCUCACCUAGGCGACGAUCCCUAGCUGGUCUGAGAGGAUGACCAGCCACACUGGAACUGAGACACGGUCCAGACUCCUACGGGAGGCAGCAGUGGGGAAUAUUGCACAAUGGGCGCAAGCCUGAUGCAGCCAUGCCGCGUGUAUGAAGAAGGCCUUAGGGUUGUAAAGUACUUUCAGUUGGGAGGAAGGCGUUGAUGCUAAUAACCUUGGUGAUUGACGUUACUCGCAGAAGAAGCACCGGCUAACUCCGUGCCAGCAGCCGCGGUAAUUC